rnacentral:tRNA from 8 species
GGUGAGUUGGCUGAGUGGCUGAAGGCGCACGCCUGGAAAGUGUGUAUGGGUUUAUAGCCCAUCUAGGGUUCGAACCCCUAACUCACCGCCA